UUUUAGUAGGGGAGGGUGGGAGAAGGUGGUUCCCUCUACUCUCAUGAUUUCUUAAUUUUUCAUUUUUUUGGUUUUCAAAAUUGGGAAGGCCUUUCUUUUUUAAUCUUUUUGCGAAAUGAGGAAGUGGGUCCCACACCGUUGCUGAUUUUGGAUGGACUUUAAUCAGCUCCAGCAGCCAGCGAGCCAGCGAGCGCCUUGGGUUUGGUUUUUGGUCCUCCUUCCGGGGUUCAAGUACUUUGAAAGUUUUAAGCUUCAGCUGCUCUGCUUGCUUUCUCCUUCUUAAAAUCCUGUUUAUUUAAAUAAUAAACCAAAGCUCUGCUCUAUACAAACGUCUACUCUCUCUCUCUCUCUCUCUCUCUCUAGCUCAGCAAACCAAGUUGUGAUCCCGUUGUUUCUGGACCUCCAGUUGUCGGUUUCCGGUUGGAUUUGGCCGGAGAAUGGCAUAUAUGUGUGCAGACAGUGGCAAUCUAAUGGCGAUUGCUCAGCAAGUCAUCAAGCAGAAGCAGCAGCAGGAGCAGCAACAACAGCAGCACCACCACCACCAACAGCAGCCGGUCGGCGCUUUCUCUCUCACUCCCUGGCCCAACAACACUCACAGCCCCAAUUUGGGCUACGGAUUAACCGGCUCGGGGUAUACCGACCCGUUUCAGCUUUCCGGAAGCUCUGACGCCGGCGGGGAGCCGGGGUUUCCGUUUCCCAACUUGGAUCACCACCCCACUGGGUUCCGGUUUUCUGAUUUAGGCGGCGGUGGCGCGGCCGAGUUCGACUCGGACGAGUGGAUGGAUAGUAUCAUAGGCGGUGGGGAUUCAACGGAUAGUUCUAAUCUGCCCUCUGCUUGCGACACGUGGCAUGGCAGCAAUGCUGAUUUCGGUCUCUACGGUGCCGAUCCAUUCCAACCCCCCUGCCCGAGUCGACUCAGCAAUCCCUGCUCCCCACCGUCCGAUCUCAACCGAGUCAUCUUCUCUGAAACUCAGAACCAGUUGCCAGCCUGGACAGCCCCUCCUCCGCCGCCACCAGCACCGCAUGUUGUAGUCAAACAGGCCAAAUCAGCAGACCCUCCUCCGCAGCCAAACGAAGCCGUCGGGGUCUCGUCAAGGUCACCGGAGAUCGAGUCAGCGCCGCCGCUACUGAAGGCCCUACUCGACUGCGCCCGGCUAGCCGAGUCCGACCCGGACCGCGCCGUCAAAUCACUGAUUCGACUCAGAGAAUCGGUCUCAGACCGCGGAGAUCCAACUGAAAGAGUUGGUUUUUACUUCACCGAAGCGUUGCAGAGCAGAGUGUCGUCUCUGCAAUCGGAGAAAAGCUUGGCGGCCACCACGACCUACGACACUGCUUGCGAAGACUUCACUCUCUCUUACAAGGCCCUAAACGACGCUUGCCCCUAUUCCAAGUUUGCCCAUUUGACUGCGAACCAGGCCAUUCUCGAAGCGACGGAGAGAGCGACGAAGAUCCACAUAGUCGACUUCGGAAUCGUCCAAGGGGUCCAAUGGGCCGCUCUGUUGCAGGCCUUGGCGACCAGGUCAACCGGAAAGCCCAGCAGAAUUCGGAUCUCCGGCAUACCGGCUCCGUCUCUGGGGACAUCUCCCGCGGCCUCGCUUUUUGCUACUGGAAAUCGACUGCGCGAUUUUGCCAAGCUUCUGGAAUUGAACUUCGAGUUCGAACCGAUUCUCACUCCGGUUCAUGAGCUCGACGAGUCGUGCUUCCGGGUAGAACCGGACGAGGCCUUGGCUGUGAACUUGAUGCUCCAAUUGUACAACCUACUUGACGAGACUCCAACGGCGGUUCAAUCGGCUCUGAAACUAGCUAAAUCGCUGAACCCGAAGAUUGUGACUUUGGGCGAGUACGAAGCGAACUUGAGCCGGGUUGGGUUCACGAGCCGGUUCAAGAACGCGUUGAAGUACUACACCGCGCUGUUUGAGUCGCUGGAGCCGAACAUGACCCGAGACUCGCCGGAGAGGCUUAAAGUGGAGAAGCUUUUACUGGGUCGUCGAAUUGGCGGCGUGGUUGGGCCGGAGCAACCGGGAACCAAGAGAGAACGGUUCGAAGACAAAGAGCAAUGGAAGUAUUUGAUGGAAAGCUCCGGUUUUGAGCCGGUAGCUCUUAGCCAUUACGCAGUGAGCCAGGCCAAGAUCCUGCUUUGGAACUACAACAAUUCUUUGUAUUCUCUAAUUGAAUCUCCACCGGGGUUUCUCUCUUUGGCUUGGAACGAAGUUCCUCUGUUCACUGUUUCAUCAUGGCGUUAAUGGGUUUUGCUUCAAUUUGGGAAUUGGGUUUUUCACCAGGUCUUUUAAUACUGGGUGGAAGCCUAUUAGUUUCAGUACGCCAUUGACAGUGGUCUUAGUUCAGUGCUUCUUCUUCUUCUUCAUGAUCAGAAAUGGAACUCAAGACUGCCCUAGUGAACUUACAGUUGUCUCUGUAAGACUGUAAUUAGGGUUUGAUGAAGACCCAUUACCUGCGCGUGCAAAGCUGUGAUUUCUGUAAUUGGUCUCUUGAUGAAGACGACCUGCUGCAAGUGAUCUGCCAGCAGAGAUCUUUUUUACUCCUGCUGCUCAACUUUCCAUAUUCAAAGGCUGCUGCUUUUGUUUCUGCCUCGUAAUCAAUUUCCUUAAACCAGCGCAAAAGACAAUGAGUUGGAGUUAAAGCAACUUAGCAAUUUGCUUGAGCAUUGGAGUUUCUCGCCCAUCCAAUGUGUAAAUGUGUCUAUAUUUUCAAUCCAUGGGCCAUGUUUUCUUCCUGAUUAUGAUAUUAAUGCAUGUCCCUUUCACUCUGAGAUCAGUCCUCUGGCUCUCUUGCUUACAGACUUGGGGAUGAGAACCAACCCCUUUCCUAGUCUCUCUCUCUGAACAAAAUAAAUGGGCCAAAAGCAUGACAAAGAAGGCAGUGGCACUGCAUGAUAAUGCUCUGCUUAUGGUCCGAGUGACUGUGACCAUUCAAGCCUCAUUGUAAAAGCUACGUUUGAGUAUAUAGAAAUUUGAUUUGCCUUCUA